rnacentral:tRNA from 1 species
GCCCGGUUGGCUCAGUUGGUAGAGUUGCUGACUCUUAUUUACCGAUAAGAAUCAUCAGCCGGUCGUGGGUUCGAGCCCCACAUCGGGCU